CACCAGCCCUAAUGGUCUGUGAAAUUAUUUUCCUUUCUCUAAGACGCUGUUAACUCUGCUAGCACCUGCAGAGUGGAGGACCUCAGAACAUUGUCAAAAGUCCUUCAAUUUAUUCAAACCAGCUUUUCUCCACAAACAAAAAUUAAUCUUCAAUGUUAUCACAGCAAUCUUCCUUAGUAGAGAGGUGGGAAUGCAAUGGAACAGAGUUUAAAGUUUUUAUCACGGCUGCUUUCCCCUUCUGCAGGUACAGAGAGAUAAUCGAACAAAAGACUUCAAAAUCAAGGAUAAGAUUCACUCCAUAUAACAGAGUAUGAGAGUAUGAAUGAGCAUAAAGGGCUCAAAUCGCUGGGAAAAAAAAAAAAAAGAGAGAGAGAAAGAGAAAUGAAUCAGCUAAAAAAAAAGUAAGCAACAAUGAAGAGAAGUGAUGGAGUAAAGGAAAAAUCUAAAAGUGCGUUUGCAGUCUGGACCUUGCAGGAAAUAACAGGACUAUGCUGUCCCUUACUGUGACUGGUUAAGCCUGCAGAUGACGAAAUGAAAUGUUGCAUCCUGUAUGGCUGCCCAAGUUUUAUGUAACUCACAUUUGCUAAAAUAUUUACCAACUGCAAAAUCAUUAUUUAUUUUUUUUUUCCUGGGCAUUUCAAUUAUCAGGUAAUGGUGUCUUGCUGCUUAGAAAUAUUAAUGAAACCACGUUAAGCAGUACCCCAGUGAUUUUAAGUGGAAUGUAGGCAGAGGGGGGGAAAUCAUAGAAUUUACCAAAUCAGAGAAAAUAAAGCUUAUGUAGAAACUAUGCACUAAUUUAAAGUGCUCAACUUGAUAAACUUCAGGCCUUGUUACUCGGGGAAGUCGGUCGUUCAGUUGUGGUCAAUGUGUUGAGAUCAGUUUUAGAUCUCUCCAGGUGCAGCUGUGAACACUCCCUUUUUGCAAAUCUAGCCCAGCUGUUCAUACAAAAAUGUAAAACUGCCACUAAUCAGUUACACACUUGAGGUCGGGGGAUUGCCACACAGCUCCUAAAGCAGGAGCAGAAUCUGCUCACCAAGAUGGGUAUUGUUUCUUAAUCCUGAAACCACAGUUUUGUUUUUCCUGCCGCGUUCACCGUAAAACUAAUUAACAAAUUACAGCCUACCACAUUCACUAAAUGAGAUCUGCGAAGACCUUGGGAGAAAGUCACACUACAGUUCUGAGAACGACUUAAACAAGAGGAUGAACUUGCAAAUUUGUCUCAAAAGCAGGGCCAGCUCCUCAAAGCUGAUGACGAAUAGGAGAGGUGAUAUUUGCGUGGAAAACAGUUUGCAUUGUUCUGAGAAGUGAUUUUACGAAGUUUAGUUAAUGAAUGUCAGGCUAUCAGACUGCCAGAGGAUAUAAACUCAACUGCUUGCUUUUUCCACUACCACAGAAAAUGGAGACAAUGAUUGCUACUGUUGGAGUGUACGUCAGGGUUGAGAUUUUAUUGCCUUGUAAUGUUUAAUUUUAGGUGGGAGAUAAUCCUUUGGAGGACAGAUUCUUCUACCAAUGGAAAGAGGCUAUUACAAAUGGGCCUAGCAUGCUCUCUGUUCAUGUUCCAGAGCCACUGCAAAAUUCCUUACUGCUGCCUUGUGUAAAAGCCUGCAUUUAAAAGGAAAAUGAAAACAACAUCUGAUGAAAAGGUCCCAUCUGCAGGAAUACAACCUCUACGUCCAACCAUUACAGAAAGCUUUGCUUGCUGUCCCCAAAAUUAUGUAAACCUAUUAAAAUAUUUCACUUUCCACGCCACUUUUCACGUUUUAGUCAAGCAGAAGACUUAAGUCUUCAUUCAAAGUGAUGGAAGGUUUUCAUGACCAACCCAUCUGGAUUUUAAUUGUUAGGGAUUCUUUCACAUCUGGUCUAUGCUCUUAGAGAACUGCUCUUAGGACUGACUGAUGCUGCACAUUUGUGCUGCUCUUGGAGUAACUGAGGACCAAGUGAAGGACCUGACCCUAAUGGAAGGGAAAGAAGAAACCCACACAUUGCACCUGACCCCCCUGCCCCAACAGCUUUUUGUUGUUGUUUUGGUUUUG